AUUGAACGCUGGCGGCAGGCCUAACACAUGCAAGUCGAGCGAGCGGCGGACGGGUGAGUAAUGUCUGGGCAACUGCCUGAUGGAGGGGGAUAACUACUGGAAACGGUAGCUAAUACCGCAUACCAUCGGAUGUGCCCCGAUGGGAUUAGCUAGUAGGUGGGGUAACGGCUCACCUAGGCGACGAUCCCUAGCUGGUCUGAGCGGAUGACCAGCCACACUGGAACUGAGAAACGGUCCAGACGCAGACGGGAGGCAGCAGUGGGGAAUAUUGCACAAUGGGCGCAAGCCGGAUGCAGCUAUGUCGCGUGUAUGAAGAAGGCCUUCGGGUUGUAAAGUACUUGCAGCGGGGAGGCGUUACCCGCAGAAGAAGCACCGGCUAACUCCGUGCCAGCAGCCGCGGUAAUAC
rnacentral:rRNA from 1 species